GUUUGUGCUGGCUACAGAAUAACGUCCACGUUUGCUCCAGAUCAUCCCAUCCUCCCAGGGGGAAGGAAAUGGCUGCAAUGGAGCUGGCUCAGGAUUUGGUGACUUUCGAGGAGGUGGCUGUGUAUUUCACCAAGGAGGAAUGGGCACUGCUGGACCCCACUCAGAGAGCCCUCUACAGAGAUGUCAUGCAGGAGAACUAUGAGACAGUGAUCUUGCUGAGUAAGAAGUCCUGUCCCCUUGGUUAUUAGAAGCUGUGGGGUCUCUAAAGACCCUGAGUAGUAAUAACUUUACACCUUCAUUCAUCUCACAAGUUUUGACAAGUUUUCUUGCCCAGCUUUUUUGCCUUAUCUCCCACCCACUAGUGUAAUUUUUGGACAUUUGCCUUCUUUGGUGCCGACAGUCAUUUUAAAAUUGCGUUGAAUGUAUCCUUAUUGGCUACAUUAAUAACUAUAUUAAUCACUGUAGCUUUCAUGCCAUUUCCUCAUUUUAAGAGGAAAAUAUGCUGCCUGUAGAAUUCUAAAUUGA